AACGAACGCUGGCGGCAUGCCUAACACAUGCAAGUCGAACGAAGGCUUCGGCCUUAGUGGCGCACGGGUGCGUAACGCGUGGGAAUCUGCCCUUUGCUUCGGAAUAACAGUUAGAAAUGACUGCUAAUACCGGAUGAUGUCGCAAGACCAAAGAUUUAUCGGCAAAGGAUGAGCCCGCGUAGGAUUAGCUAGUUGGUGGGGUAAAGGCCUACCAAGGCGACGAUCCUUAGCUGGUCUGAGAGGAUGAUCAGCCACACUGGGACUGAGACACGGCCCAGACUCGUACGGGAGGCAGCAGUGGGGAAUAUUAGACAAUGGGCGAAAGCCUGAUACAGCAAUGCCGCGUGAGUGAUGAAGGCCUUAGGGUUGUAAAGCUCUUUUACCCGGGAUGAUAAUGACAGUACCGGGAGAAUAAGCUCCGGCUAACUCCGUG
rnacentral:rRNA from 1 species